UUCCUUUUGAUUGAUUCAUGUGCAGUGUAAUGUUCUUGUAGGAUGACAAGUUGUCGCAUCUCGAGCAUGUUUCGUAGGAGAGUGGAAUGAAGUCCAUUGUACUAUUGGGAUAGUAGCAGAUGUGCCAUUGUUCUAUUGUGCAAUUCUGUCCGUUCUUGCUAUAUUCAUGUGUAAGGAAAUGUAUUCAUGAGGUGAGUUAUUGUAUUAUGUAAACCUGAGAGAUGUAUUAUGU
rnacentral:lncRNA from 1 species